CCUACGGGCGGCAGCAGUGAGGAAUAUUGGUCAAUGGACGAGAGUCUGAACCAGCCAAGUAGCGUGAAGGAUGACUGCCCUAUGGGUUGUAAACUUCUUUUAUAAAGGAAUAAAACGAGGCACGUGUGCCUUUUUGCAUGUACUUUAUGAAUAAGGAUCGGCUAACUCCGUGCCAGCAGCCGCGGUAAUACGGAGGAUCCGAGCGUUAUACGGAUUGAUUGGGUUUAAAGGGCGCGUAGAUGGGUUGUUAAGUCAGUUGUGAAAGUUUGCGGCUCAACCGUAAAAUUGCAAUUGAUACUGGCAGUCUUGAGUACAGUUGAGGUAGGCGGAAUUCGUGGUGGAGCGGUGAAAUGCUUAGAUAUCACGAAGAACCACGAUUGCGAAGGCAGCUUACUAAACUGUGACUGACAUUGAUGCUCGAAAGUGUGGGUAUCAAACAGGAUUAGAUACCCCAGUAGUC
rnacentral:rRNA from 1 species